rnacentral:lncRNA from 1 species
UGUCCCUGCUCACCUCUCUGUCCAUCGACCAGCCUGGCUGGCGCUCUACAGGGAGCCCUGUCCACAGCUGAUCCCAUGAAGACUGUCUGCACCGUGAGGCCAGCUCUGCAGCCGUGCUGGGAGCCGCUGCAUCCACAGUGCCCCCCGACCUAGGGCUGCCCUGGGGCGCAGCAGGAGGGCAGUCUGCCAUUUCAGGGCGGGCAGAGCUGUGGAAGCUUCAUUCCCCA